rnacentral:rRNA from 1 species
AGUAGUUUGACUCCUGGCUCAGGACGACGCUGGCGGCGUGCUUAACACAUGCAAGUCGAACGGAGUAUUCCUCCCGAGACCGAGGAAGCUUGCUUCUGAAGAAUCAUUUGAAAUACUUAGUGGCGGACGGGUGAGUAACGCGUGGGUAACCUGCCUCACACAGGGGGAUAACAGUUGGAAACGACUGUUAAUACCGCAUAAGCGCACAGUAUCGCAUGGUACGGUGUGAAAAACUCCGGUGGUGUGAGAUGGACCCGCGUCUGAUUAGCUAGUUGGUGAGGUAACGGCCCACCAAGGCGACGAUCAGUAGCCGGCCUGAGAGGGUGUACGGCCACAUUGGGACUGAGACACGGCCCAAACUCC